AAUGAACGUUGGCGGCGUGGAUUAGGCAUGCAAGUCGUGCGGAAAGGCUCCUUCGGGAGUACUCGAGCGGCGAAAGGGAGAGUAACGCGUGGAUAUCUACCCCCUGGUCUGGGAUAGCGGCGGGAAACUGCCGGUAAUACCAGAUAAUGUCUGCGGACCAAAGGUGUGAUUCCGCCGGGGGAUGAGUUCGCGUCCUAUUAGCUAGUUGGUAGGGUAACGGCCUACCAAGGCAAAAAUGGGUACCGGGUGUGAGAGCAUGGCCCGGCUCACUGGGACUGAGACACUGCCCAGACACCUACGGGUGGCUGCAGUCGAGAAUCUUCGGCAAUGGGCGCAAGCCUGACCGAGCGACGCCGCGUGCGGGAUGAAGGCCUUCGGGUUGUAAACCGCUGUCAGAGGGGAGGAAAUGCGUAGGAGUUCUCUCUUACGUUUGACCUAUCCUCAGAGGAAGUACGGGCUAAGUUCGUGCCAGCAGCCGCGGUAAAAC
rnacentral:rRNA from 1 species